rnacentral:tRNA from 1 species
GCAGUGGUGGUUCAGUGGUAGAAUCCUUGCCUUCCAUGCAGGAGACCUGGGUUUGAUUCUGAGCCACUGCA